UUAUAUAACCACAUAAUAUGAUUUAUUUCUAUACAUUUGCAGAUAUGUUUUAUUUGUGUGUCCAAGCAGCAGCUUUGUUGGCUGCAGACAGAAAAAGACAUGAAAAAUGGAAUUAGAUCAAAACUGAAUUUGGGGUUCAGGACGCAGACAGGAGUCACGGGGACAGGUGAAGCAUGACGUCAUCAUCACGAGCAGAGCAGCUGCAGUCAGGCAGCUCAUCAAUGUGGAAUACAACUGGCUAACAACAACUUUUAUUUUAACUACACAAUAACUUACAGUUUUACAGUCACUUACAUCACGGAAAUGAGUCUUAACAAACAGGCUAGUAUAACGCACACUGCGUAUAAACAAAACGUCUGUUAUCAUCUGUUAUGUUUAGACAGACAUGGCGUGUUCAUGCUGCAGCGUGUGCUGCAGGCCCGAGACCAAUGUUCAACACACUCUCCUCGAGACUCCGAGUCACCACUUCACUUUAGUAAGGCCCAGGACCAAUGUCAGCCACAUUCUCCGUUGAAGUUUCGGGUCACCAGUUCACUUCACCUCACCUAGAUUGAGACUGAGAAGAGCUGAAGGGUCAUCUUACCUAAGUGAGAUGCUGGGGCGAGGAAGUUUCCAGGAUGGUGGGGGGGAUGACCGAAAGGACCUGCCGAGGGGUGUGUGGGACCUGAGGAAGGCGAGAGCACACAGAAACAUCCAUCAACCGCUGACUAGAUCUUACACACACAGGUACCUGCAGCAGAGAAGAGUGUGGCGGGCCGCGCCAAGUCGCUGGGGUGAUGGAUGGCGCCGAAGAGGCUAGGGCCCGGAGGUCGACUCAGGAACUCUGGCUUCAGGCCGAAGUCUAGCUUGUGAGGGUCGACCUGCAUCUGCUGCUAGAAGACGGCAGAUUGACAGAGAGGAACAUAUGUAAAACCCCUUUAGGUUACACUAUAGGUUGGGAAGAAUUAUUUUUUAGUUGAAGUAAACUAGAUUAAGUCAGCGACUAGAGGAUUGUCUUGCCCAAGGACAGUUUGCAGGAAUCAAACCCUAACCAUUCAGGGAUGAAAGAGUCCCCCUGACUGCCAGGCUACACUGAGUUACACUCUCCUUUUCUUAAUGGACCCAUCAUUAUAACCUCAACAAGUGAUUAUGGUUAUGACCACUGAAACCAUACAUACGUUUUGCAUUGUAGUUAUUUGAACAGUUUUUUGUAAAUGGACUUCAGAAAAUAAACUCUGUGGCAAACAAAA